GCAAGUUAUAAAAAAAAUAAUUAUACAGGUUGAUUAGUAUUUCAAAACUUCAAGGUUAGAACUCUUUCAUCAAGAAAUUUACAGUGAAAAGGUCUUGAUAGUUAAUUUCUUUGCUCUGUAGCGUAUGUGUAUACUACAGAGCAGAGAAAUCAAGCUUUUAACACCAUUUCUCUGUAUAUUUCUUGAAGGUGAAGUGUACAGGUUAUAUAAUAUAUAUAUUUAUAUAUAUAUCUUUAUAUAUACAUACACACACACACACAUAUAUAUAUGUGUAUAUAUAUCAUCAUCAUCAUCGUUUAACGUCUGCUUCCCAUGCUGGCAUGGGUUGGACAGUUUGACUGGGGACUGGUGAGCUUGAUGGCUGCAAGAGGCUCCAAUCUGAUAUGGCAGAGUUUCUACAGCUGGAUGCACUUCCUAACACCAACCACUCCAAGAUUGUAGUGGGUGCUUCUACGGGCCAGUCAGGCAGUACUGGCAACGGCCACACUUUAAUAGUGUUUUUAUGUGUCACCUGCACAGGGGAUAGUCCAGCGGCAAUGGCAACACCCUCGCUCAAAUGUUGUUUUUCACGUACCACUGGCACAAGUGCUAGUAAGGCGACACUGGUAACAAUCAUGCUCGAAUGAUGCUUUUUACAUGCCACCGGCACAGGAGCCAGUCAGUUGCCCUGGCAACGAUCAUACUCAGAUGGUGCUCUUAGCGCUCCACUAAGCACGGAUACCAGUCAUGUGGUCCUGUCAUUGAAUUUGAUUUCGAUUUCACUUGGCUCAAGAGGUCUUCGCAAGCAGAGUUUAGUGUCCAAUGAAAGAAAGGUACACCUAAGUGGGCUGGUUACACCACUGGCAUAGGCCAAGCUCCCGUGCCUUGGCUUGCCGGGUCUUCUCAAGCACAGCAUAUUUCCAAAGGUCUUGAUCACAAGUCAUUGCCUCGGUGAGACCUAUAUAUAUAUAUAUAUAUAGUACAUAUGCAUAUCAGCGGUGGCAACUUUAGUAUCCAAGAAUUUAUUUUCUUCUUUGUUGAACGCUUCCUUUAUGGUGAUGUCAUUGAUGACUCUGUAGACCAGUUCUUGCAUAGAAGAGUCAAUGCCAAUGACUGCAUGGUAAUGUUGGUGGAGGACAAGGUUGAUUUGUAUAUAUAUACUGUCUUAUCUUAUUAAACUCCAAACUUCAUAAAGUCACUCAGAGUUUCACAUAACUAUUAUCAAUUGUGAUAAUACAGACUAGAAAAGAAAUUUUAUAAUUUAUGUGUGUAUGUGUGUGUGCAUGUAUAUAUAUAUAUAUAUAUAUUUGAGCCAAAAAGUAAUGCAAAUAAAAAUUGCAUUACUUUCCAACUCAUCUUUAUAUAUAUAUAUAUAUCAUCAUCAUCAUCAUCAUUCAUUAUCAUUUUAACAUCAUAUAUGUGUGUAUGUAUAUGUGCAUGUAUAUAUAUAUGUGUGUGUAUAUGUAUGCACAUGCUUAUAUGCAUGUAUGUUUGUGUAAAUAUUUAUGCAUGCAUGUAUCUUUAAAUAUCAAAAUCAUCCCGUCCAGAGGACUGACUUAACAUUGGACAUUAGACCCAUCCAUAAUCUUGUGGAUAUUAGUUAGAUUUCACAGGAGGUGAAGUGAUUUUUUUUUUUAUCAGACUGAUCUGCUUCAACACAGCUAAAGUCAUUAGCAGACCACUUGUACAUAAUAAUAACAUUUUAAACAAGCAAAAUGCCACUAAUAAUAAUGGUGGUGACAGUAACUGUGGUGAACAAAUGUUUGGUUGGUGGUCAGUAUGAUGUGUGAUGGUUAUGGUGACAGUGCCAACAUUGGUAACAGGUUUGUAGUAGUGGUUUUGGUGGUCUUUGUUGUUUUCUUGGAUUUUGUUGUUAUUUUUGAUACACUGAUAUUGAUGUUGAUAUUGCAGUGCUGAUAUUGGUAAAUUCUGGUUUAGAAGCCUCUUUUGACUUUGAGCCAACUCACUAAAUGUUCAGAGAACCACAAAAUGAAGUCUUGAGAUUUGUCUUGUCUUUGCCAAAUAUGAAUUCAUUACUCUUCUCUAUUUAUUCCAAUGUAUGUAUGUAUAUAUAUGUGCCACUGCGUGGCACCUUGGGCAAGUGUCUUCUACUAUAGCCUCGGGCCGACCAAAGCCUUGUGUGUGAUUUGGUAGACAGAAACUGAAAGACGCCUGUCGUAUAUAUGUAUAUAUAUAUGUAUGUGUGUGUAUAUAUGUUUGUGUGUCUGUAUUUGUCCCCUCCAACAUCACUUGACAACUGAUGCUGGUGUGUUUACAUCCCUGUAACUUAGCAGUUCGGCAAAAGAGACUGAUAGAAUAAGUACUGGGCUUACAAAGAAUAAGUCUUGGAGUCGAUUUGCUCAACUAAAGGCAGUGCUCCAGUAUGGCCACAGUCAAAUGAGAGAAGCAAGUAAAAGAGUAAAGAGUAUAUAUAUAUAGGUAUAGGCAUAUAUGUAUGUAUAUGUCUAUAUUUAUUAAAAGACUUGAAUAUGUGGUAUCAUUUUAAUGCUGAUACACAUGUUUCAUGACAAUAUGGGAAAUACAUUUUAUGAAUAUAAAUAUUAAUAUUAGUAUUAAUAAUAUAAAUGUAUUAAAUUCAUAAUAGAAAUAUACAUACAUUUAGAUCAUCCUCCAUGCAUAAAUCUUCAAGCAGAAUCUCAAAAUAAUACAUUUAAGACUUGAAUAAUUUCAAAUAUAUGGCUUAUUGAAAUUCAACAUGUAUGUAUGUAUGAUUUUCUCAUUUAAAAUAAAACAUCUACAUACAGACAAUUGAUAGCAUAAAAGACACAAGGACAUGUUAGAAAUAUCUCAAUUUCAGCUGGGCACUUUCAGGAGUAAAAAUAGGUUUGUGCAUUAAUGCUUAUGGUACAUCCAACUUUGCAUAUAGGGCCUAGAGUGACUUUUUAAGGCAUGGGAGGGGAGGGUAUUUUACAUCCCAUCAAGUACAGUGUGUGUAUGUGUGCAUGAAUGAAUAAAUGAUAAAUGUUUAUUUUAUCAAUUUGGGAAACAAAGAACUAAGGUUACUGCAAUAGGAUUUGAACUCACAACUGUUAAAACUAUGUUGUGAUUAUUCAGCUAUGCUGGUCAGUUUGGCAGUUUUCUGUUGAUUGAAGAAAGAAAUGUUAUGAGUUUAAUAGUGGCUUCCUUCACUGGAGAAUUCAUCAAAGAGAAGUGUAUAUACAUACAGCAGCACUGUCUAAAACUAAUGUUAUGCGUACAUGUUUGUGUGUAUAUAUAUAUAAACAUACAGAACAUUAAUACUCAUUAAAGAUAUUAAUGUCAAUAGCUGCAAGCUAAACCGUAUAGGCAAAAUUAAUAGAUAUAUAUAAAAGAAUUAUAUAUAACAAGGGCGCUUGUUAUAAGCACCAGCUUUGCUAAAAGUAAGAUUCAAAAUAUUCUGAAAUCCACAAAAAUUAUCUCUAGAUUUUCACAGGCAUGGUUGGGAAAAAAAACUAAGUGAAAUUGGGAUUGUGUCUUACCUCGGCAAAAUGCAAGAAUGAAAAAGCACCCUUGUCAUCAUCAUCAUCAUCAUCAUCAUCGUUUAACGUCCGUUUUCCGCGCUAGCACGGGUUGGAUGGUUUCGACCGGGGUCUGGGGAGCUCGGGACUGCCCCAGGCUCCAGUCUAGUCUGGCAGUGUUUCUACAGCUGGAUGUCCUUCCUAACGCCAACCACUCCGCGAGUGUAGUGGGUGUUUUUUACGUGCCACCUGCACAGGUGCCAGAGGGGUCUGGCAUCGGCCACGUUCGGAUGGUGC
rnacentral:lncRNA from 1 species